rnacentral:rRNA from 1 species
AGCGAACGCUGGCGGCGUGCUUAACACAUGCAAGUCGCGGGAGAAUGGAGGGCUUCGGCCUUCCUAGUAAACCGGCGCACGGGUGAGUAACACGUAGGUAACCUACCUCCGAGACCGGGAUAACCUAUCGAAAGAUUGGCUAAUACCGGAUAAGACCACGGGAGUCUCGGCUUCUGCGGUCAAAGGUGGCCUCUGCUUGCAAGCUACCACUUGGGGAUGGGCCUGCGGGCCAUUAGCUUGUUGGUGAGGUAACGGCUCACCAAGGCGGACGAUGGCUAGCCUGGUCUGAGAGGAUGAUCAGCCACACUGGGACUGAGACACGGCCCAGACUCCUACGGGUGGCUG